AUUGAACGCUGGCGGCAGGCUUAACACAUGCAAGUCGAGCGAGCGGCGGACGGGUGAGUAAUGUCUGGGAAACUGCCUGAUGGAGGGGGAUAACUACUGGAAACGGUAGCUAAUACCGCAUACCAUCAGAUGUGCCCAGAUGGGAUUAGCUGGUGGGUGGGGUAAUGGCUCACUUAGGCGACGAUCCCUAGGUGGUCUGAGAGGAUGACCAGCCAAGCGGGAACUGAGACACGGUCCAGACUCCUACGGGAGGCAGCAGUGGAGAAUAUUGCACAGUGGGCGCAAGCCUGAUGCAGCCAUGCCGCGUGUGUGAAGAAGGGCUUCGGGUUGUACAGCACUUUCAGCGAGGAGGCGUUACUCGCAGAAGAAGCACCGGCUAACUCCGUGCCAGCAGCCGCGGUAAUUC
rnacentral:rRNA from 1 species